ACUAGGGAUCGGGCGACCUCAAUUUCAUGGUGUCGCUCGGCACCUUACGAGAAAUCAAAGUCUUUGGGUUCUGGGGGGAGUAUGUCCAAGGCUGAAACUUAAAGGAAUUGACGGAAGGGCACCACCAGGAGUGGAGCCUGCGGCUUAAUUUGACUCAACACGGGGAAACUCACCAGGUCCAGACAUGACUAGGAUUGACAGAUUGAUAGCUCUUUCUUGAUUUUAUGG
rnacentral:rRNA from 1 species